rnacentral:rRNA from 1 species
AUACGGAGGGUGCGAGCGUUAUCCGGAUUUAUUAGGUUUAAAGGGUGUGUAGGCGGGAGCCUAAGUCAGUGGUGAAAUCUCACAGCUUAACUGUGAAACUGCCAUUGAAACUGGGUUUCUUGAGUAUAGUUGAGGUAGGCGGAAUGUGUAAUGUAGCGGUGAAAUGCAUAGAUAUUACACAGAACACCGAUUGCGAAGGCAGCUCACUAAGCUAUUACUGACGCUGAUGCACGAAAGCGUGGGUAGCGAACAGGAUUAGAAACCCCUGUAGUCC